UACGUAGGGGGCAAGCGUUGUCCGGAAUCAUUGGGCGUAAAGAGCGUGUAGGCGGCCAGAUAAGUCCGCUGUGAAAUCUCGAGGCUCAACUUCGAGCUGUCGGUGGAAACUGUCUGGCUAGAGUCCGGAAGAGGAGAAUGGAAUUCCUGGUGUAGCGGUGAAAUGCGCAGAUAUCAGGAAGAACACCCGUGGCGAAGGCGGUUCUCUGGGACGGUACUGACGCUGAGACGCGAAAGCGUGGGGGGCGAACAGG
rnacentral:rRNA from 1 species